rnacentral:tRNA from 1 species
GUGUUUUUGCGUUUGUCUUGCAGCGGACUUCGAAUCCGAAGGUUACAGGUUCGAGUCCUGUCGGGCGCA